UAGAGUUUGAUCCUGGCUCAGAUUGAACGCUGGCGGCAGGCUUAACACAUGCAAGUCGAACGGAUUUGAGUACUUGUACUUAGAUUAGUGGCGAACGGGUGAGUAAUGCCUAGGAAUCUGCCAUUUAGUGGGGGACAACGUUUCGAAAGGAACGCUAAUACCGCAUACGCCCUACGGGAGGCAGCA
rnacentral:rRNA from 1 species